GUUACGCACAACCAGCGACUGCUCCAGCUCCUGCCUGCGCUGCUGGAUCUUUAGAGGAAGUGAGAACAGGAGCAGGUGUCAGUGUUCCUGUACUCCCUGAGUCUCCCUCUUCACCUUGAGGUCCCGGCUCUGGGAGCGGAGCAGGUCUUGGACAUAGCCUUUGGGGUCUCUGGAGAAGCUUAGCAUGAAGUCCCUCUGGAUCUUGAGCUGGUUUAUGGACUCAAUCGUCUCAUGGAUCUGCAGACUGCUCAUCUGCAACCACACCCUGGUCUCAGAAAAGUCUCCUCUAUCAACUCUGGGUUAAUGUCCCACUCCAGCUCUGGGCUUGGG